rnacentral:lncRNA from 1 species
AAACCAUGUUUUAUAAAAUGUUUUUAAUAUAUUUUAUGUUUUUAAGCAAAAAGGAAAUUGAGUUUUGAAUGAAAUAGACCAAGGAGGCGUUGCCAGGUUCGGCCGCCGAAAGUUAGGUUCGGCCGCCGAACAUGGUGGGGUUUUGGGAGCGCCUUAGGCCUCCGAAAGCCUUGUUUGAAAGACUCAAGGUUCGGCCGCCGAACCUCAUGUUCGGCCGCCGAACAUGCAUGAGAUGUGGGGGCACGUUAGGCCGCCGAAAGGUGGCAGAACCAGCCCUAUAAGAGACCCCGUGACCGAAACAGGCGAGGUUUUCUCUCCCAUUUCGGCCGACGGUAAGCCUUAGCCCUCCUAUGGUCAUUUUAAGUAUUUCCCCUCAAAUCCUUUAGAUCUUAACAAGUUACAUCUUGUUUUUGAAGAGUUUUAAAGUUCAAGCAAGUUUUGGAGCUUUGAGGUUCAAGAACUCGAAUCUCCCCAUUUUCGAGCUAGGAUCGUUUCUCUCUCG